rnacentral:rRNA from 1 species
GACGAACCGUGCGACCGUUAUUCGGAAUCACUGGGCCUAAAGCGCGUGUAGGCGGGACGGCACGUCGGUCGCUGAAAGCCCCCGGCUCAACCGGGGAACGGGCGCCGAUACGACCGUCCUGGAGGGACGUAGGGGGACCUGGAACUUCCGGUGGAGCGGUGAAAUGCGUUGAGAUCGGAAGGAACGCCCGUGGCGAAAGCGAGGUCCUGGACGUUUUCUGACGCUGAGACGCGAAAGCCAGGGGAGCGAACGGG